CACGAUUUAUUGGGCGUAAAGAGAGUGCAGGCGGUUUUCUAGGUCUGAUGUGAAAGCCUUCGGCUUAACCGGAGAAGUGCAUCGGAAACUGGAUAACUUGAGCGCAGAAGAGGGUAGUGGAACUCCAUGUGUAGCGGUGGAAUGCGUAGAUAUAUGGAAGAACACCAGUGGCGAAGGCGGCUACCUGGUCUGCAACUGACGCUGAGACUCGAAAGCAUGGGUAGCGAACAGGAUUAGAUACCCUGGUAG
rnacentral:rRNA from 1 species